rnacentral:rRNA from 1 species
AACCUGCGGAAGGAUCAUUGUCGAGCACCCGAACCACCGGCGAACCAGUAGCGCGAGCAGCAGCUCUGCCCGCCGGCGCGCGACCCCGCGGCCCGGAGCCCUGGCGGCGAGGGGCGCGGGCGCGCGUCGUGCGGAGCAGCAGAACACACCCCUCGGGCGCCGCGCGCGCCAAGGAAUCGAAGCGGAAAGGGCGGCGGCGGCGGCCCCGGCCGGUGCGCGCCCCUCCCGACGGGGGGGACGCCGCUCCGCCGCGCCCCGCCGCCCGUCUGUCAAUCAUCGUGUAGACGACUCUCGGCAACGGAUAUCUCGGCUCUCGCAUCGAUGAAGAACGUAGCGAAAUGCGAUACUUGGUGUGAAUUGCAGAAUCCCGUGAACCAUCGAGUCUUUGAACGCAAGUUGCGCCCGAGGCCACCCGGCCGAGGGCACGUCUGCCUGGGCGUCACGCCACCCAUCGCUCCCCCGCGCGGCCCCUGGCGGGCGGGAAGCGGAGACUGGCCGCCCGUGCCCGAGGGCUCGGCGCGCGGUUGGCCGAAAAGGAGGGCACCGUGCGGCGCGACACGGCGUGUGGUGGUUUGGAGGCGAAUCGUCGCCGGAAGGACGUUGCGGCCGCGCGCGGUGCCCCCACCGGGACCCAGCCUGCUCGGAUCGCGACCCCAGG